rfam:Equus caballus chromosome 5, whole genome shotgun sequence.
GAGGCUGGCGGCUGGGUGCCUUCUACUGGUGCUGUGCAGAGGCUUUCCCUAAGGCUGCUGUGAGCCUGUAGGGUUUCCCCCUAGGCUACUAAGCUGG